AUGUGGCUAUAUCACGUUGAAACGCCUGUUCCCGUACGAUCAUCGAAGUUAAGCAACGUCGCGUAUGGUUAGUAUCUAGAUGGGUCACAGCUUGGGAAUACCAAGUGCUGUAAG